rnacentral:rRNA from 1 species
CCCUUAGAUGUUCUGGGCUGCACGCGCGCUACACUGAUGCGCUCAACGAGUUUUAACCUUGGCCGAUAGGUCUGGGUAAUCUUUGAACGCUGUUCGUGAUUGGGAUAGACCUUUGCAAUUAUGGGUCUUCAACGAGGAAUUCCUAGUAAACGCAAGUCAUCAGCUUGCAUUGAUUACGUCCCUGCCCUUUGUACACACCGCCCGUCGCACCUACCGAUUGAAUGGUCCGGUGAAAUCUCGGGACGGCGGCUUGGUCGCUUGCGUCCGACUGCUGAAACUUGAUUAAACCAUAUCAUUUAGAGGAAGGUGAAGUCGUANCA